CGUCCCUGUGUGGCGAACAGGUCCUUGAGCGUGUGCGCGUGCACACAGUUAUUUUAUCUAAAAAGUGCAAAAGUCUAUGCCACUAUUAAAUAGCUAUGAAUCAGCCCAAAAUCAGAACCAGAGCAAAUCAAAUCAGCGGAAAUUCAAAGACUUUCAUUAAAUAACAUAAAAUAGGGCGGAUAAACGUAUCACAUAUGUGUCUAUGGGAAUUCAUGAUGAGUGUUGCAGCGACAGCGACCACUACAGGUGCCUUAAGAAAUUACAGCGCGUGACAUCAGCUACAAGAAAAACGCGCCAUUUCUCGACCUUACCGAGGGCCAGAUAUCGCAUACCUCGCAUAUCCCAAAAAGGCGCUGGGUGCAGAAUACUCGAAUCGUCGAUGAAUGAGUGAACUGGUUGAUUGAGGUCUUGGAGUGUCCACUAGAUGGUGAAAGAUCCUUUAGUGAACUGAAGCCGCCAAUGUCCAAAUAUAGCGCUGACAUCUUGGAGCCCAAGUCUGCGCAGUAGUGAGCAUGAAGUGGAGCUGCGGUAUCAAGGCUCCGCCCACACUCCCCCAGAAUCGGUUAGUACAG